AUGAAGGUCGUACGUGACAUAGAAGAUGGCGAGCUACAUCUUGCAUCUACAAACGAGGGCGACCUAAGCUCGUGUUCGACACUGCAGUUCUUGGUUGGUGUGUCAGAUAGCAACCCGGGCAGCGGUGUGAGGCGGCAACGGCUGGACGCGAUAGUAACCCUAGCUGUGGCUGCGCUAGCUUUUAACGAGAAAGGAAGAAGAAAUCAGAUCGGGGCUAGCAAGCCGAUGAGGCAGGGAAGAGAGCUGGCGGGUCCACUCGUCGGCGAGGUCUGGUCUUGGUACUAUGUUGAUAGCGAGGGUGCAAGGCUCAAGGGAAGCAUCCGGUUCUGUAGUUCUUUGUAUGCUAAUGGUAUCUUGGAUGAGGGUUACAAAUUCAACAUGUCAGUUGAGGAAGCUGCUGAGUUAGCAUGGCGGGCUUUUAUCACACAAUAUUCUGUGACAGAGCUAGUGGUGGUUGUGUUCCUGGUGAUUUGUUAA
rnacentral:rRNA from 1 species